rnacentral:rRNA from 1 species
AACGAACGCUGGCGGCAGGCUUAACACAUGCAAGUCGAGCGCCCCGCAAGGGGAGCGGCAGACGGGUGAGUAACGCGUGGGAACGUACACUUUGCUACGGAAUAGCUCCGGGAAACUGGAAUUAAUACCGUAUGUGCCCUACGGCGGGAAGAUUUAUCGGCAGAGGAUCGGCCCGCGUUAGAUUAGCUAGUUGGUGAGGGAAUGGCUCACCAAGGCGACGAUCCAUAGCUGGUCUGAGAGGAUGAUCAGCCACACUGGGACUGAGCACACGGCCCAGACUCCUACGGGAGGCAGCAGUGGGGAAUAUUGGACAAUGGGCGCAAGCCUGAUCCAGCCAUGCCGCGUGAGUGAUGAAGGCCUUAGGGUUGUAAAGCUCUUUCAGUGGGGAAGAUAAUGACGGUACCCACAGAAGAAGCCCCGGCUAACUUCGUGCCAGCAGCCGCAGUAAUAC